rnacentral:rRNA from 1 species
GCUGGCGGCAGGCCUAACACAUGCAAGUCGAGCGGUAGAGAGAAGCUUGCUUCUCUUGAGAGCGGCGGACGGGUGAGUAAUGCCUAGGAAUCUGCCUGGUAGUGGGGGAUAACGUUCGGAAACGGACGCUAAUACCGCAUACGUCCUACGGGAGAAAGCAGGGGACCUUCGGGCCUUGCGCUAUCAGAUGAGCCUAGGUCGGAUUAGCUAGUUGGUGAGGUAAUGGCUCACCAAGGCGACGAUCCGUAACUGGUCUGAGAGGAUGAUCAGUCACACUGGAACUGAGACACGGUCCAGACUCCUACGGGAGGCAGCAGUGGGGAAUAUUGGACAAUGGGCGAAAGCCUGAUCCAGCCAUGCCGCGUGUGUGAAGAAGGUCUUCGGAUUGUAAAGCACUUUAAGUUGGGAGGAAGGGCAGUUACCUAAUACGUGAUUGUUUUGACGUUACCGACAGAAUAAGCACCGGCUAACUCUGUGCCAGCAGCCGCGGUAAUACAGAGGGUGCAAGCGUUAAUCGGAAUUACUGGGCGUAAAGCGCGCGUAGGUGGUUUGUUAAGUUGGAUGUGAAAUCCCCGGGCUCAACCUGGGAACUGCAUUCAAAACUGACUGACUAGAGUAUGGUAGAGGGUGGUGGAAUUUCCUGUGUAGCGGUGAAAUGCGUAGAUAUAGGAAGGAACACCAGUGGCGAAGGCGACCACCUGGACUAAUACUGACACUGAGGUGCGAAAGCGUGGGGAGCAAACAGGAUUAGAUACCCUGGUAGUCCACGCCGUAAACGAUGUCAACUAGCCGUUGGAAGCCUUGAGCUUUUAGUGGCGCAGCUAACGCAUUAAGUUGACCGCCUGGGGAGUACGGCCGCAAGGUUAAAACUCAAAUGAAUUGACGGGGGCCCGCACAA